UACAGAGGGUGCGAGCGUUGUCCGGAAUCACUGGGCGUAAAGGGCGCGUAGGCGGCCUGAUAAGUAGGGGGUGAAAUCCUGUGGCUUAACUGCAGGGCUGCCUCCUAGACUGUUAGGCUCGAGCACGGUAGAGGCAGAUGGAAUUCCUGGUGUAGCGGUGAAAUGCGCAGAUAUCAGGAGGAACACCGGUGGCGAAGGCGGAUCUCUGGGCCUUACCUGACGCUGAGGCGCGAAAGCUAGGGGAGCAAACAGG
rnacentral:rRNA from 1 species